AUGAGGAUGUUUUUUGAGUACCUCUUCAACACUAGCUCUUACUCCGUCUCUCCCCAUCAGUUGCUUAUCCACUACUCUGUCUCUCCCCAUCAGUUGCUUAUCCACUACUCUGUCUCUCCCCAUCAGUUGCUUAUCCACUACUCUGUCUCUCCCCAUCAGUUGCUUAUCCACUACUCUGUCUCUCCACAUCAGUUGCUUAUCCACUACUCCGUCUCUCCCCAUCAGUUGCUUAUCCACUACUCUGUCUCUCCCCAUCAGUUGCUUAUCCACUACUCCUUCUCUCCCCAUCAGUUGCUUAUCCACUACUCUGUCUCUCCCCAUCAGUUGCUUAUCCACUACUCCUUCUCUCCCCAUCAGUUGCUUAUCCACUACUCUGUCUCUCCACAUCAGUUGCUUAUCCACUACUCCUUCUCUCCACAUCAGUUGCUUAUCCACUACUCUGUCUCUCCACAUCAGUUGCUUAUCCACUACUCUGUCUCUCCACAUCAGUUGCUUAUCCACUACUCCUUCUCUCCCCAUCAGUUGCUUAUCCACUACUCUGUCUCUCCACAUCAGUUGCUUAUCCACUACUCCUUCUCUCCACAUCAGUUGCUUAUCCACUACUCCUUCUCUCCCCAUCAGUUGCUUAUCCACUACUCUGUCUCUCCACAUCAGUUGCUUAUCAACUACUCCGUCUCUCCCAAUCAGUUGCUUAUCCACUACUCCUUCUCUCCCCAUCAGUUGCUUAUCCACUACUCUGUCUCUCCACAUCAGUUGCUUAUCAACUACUCCGUCUCUCCCCAUCAGUUGCUUAUCCACUACUCCUUCUCUCCCCAUCAGUUGCUUAUCCACUACUCUGUCUCUCCACAUCAGUUGCUUAUCAACUACUCCGUCUCUCCACAUCAGUUGCUUAUCCACUACUCUGUCUCUCCACAUCAGUUGCUUAUCCACUACUCUGUCUCUCCACAUCAGUUGCUUAUCCACUACUCCUUCUCUCCACAUCAGUUGCUUAUCCACUACUCUGUCUCUCCACAUCAGUUGCUUAUCAACUACUCCGUCUCUCCCCAUCAGUUGCUUAUCCACUACUCUGUCUCUCCCCAUCAGUUGCUUAUCCACUACUCUGUCUCUCCCCAUCAGUUGCUUAUCCACUACUCUGUCUCUCCCCAUCAGUUGCUUAUCCACUACUCUGUCUCUCCCCAUCAGUUGCUUAUCCACUACUCUGUCUCUCCCCAUCAGUUGCUUAUCCACUACUCUGUCUCUCCACAUCAGUUGCUUAUCCACUACUCUGUCUCUCCACAUCAGUUGCUUAUCCACUACUCCUUCUCUCCACAUCAGUUGCUUAUCCACUACUCUGUCUCUCCACAUCAGUUGCUUAUCAACUACUCCGUCUCUCCCCAUCAGUUGCUUAUCCACUACUCUGUCUCUCCCCAUCAGUUGCUUAUCCACUACUCUGUCUCUCCCCAUCAGUUGCUUAUCCACUACUCUGUCUCUCCCCAUCAGUUGCUUAUCCACUACUCUGUCUCUCCCCAUCAGUUGCUUAUCCACUACUCUGUCUCUCCCCAUCAGUUGCUUAUCCACUACUCUGUCUCUCCACAUCAGUUGCUUAUCCACUACUCCGUCUCUCCCCAUCAGUUGCUUAUCCACUACUCUGUCUCUCCACAUCAGUUGCUUAUCCACUACUCCUUCUCUCCCCAUCAGUUGCUUAUCCACUACUCUGUCUCUCCACAUCAGUUGCUUAUCCACUACUCCUUCUCUCCACAUCAGUUGCUUAUCCACUACUCUGUCUCUCCCCAUCAGUUGCUUAUCCACUACUCCUUCUCUCCACAUCAGUUGCUUAUCCACUACUCUGUCUCUCCACAUCAGUUGCUUAUCCACUACUCUGUCUCUCCACAUCAGUUGCUUAUCCACUACUCCGUCUCUCCCCAUCAGUUGCUUAUCCACUACUCUGUCUCUCCCCAUCAGUUGCUUAUCCACUACUCUGUCUCUCCCCAUCAGUUGCUUAUCCACUACUCUGUCUCUCCCCAUCAGUUGCUUAUCCACUACUCUGUCUCUCCACAUCAGUUGCUUAUCCACUACUCUGUCUCUCCACAUCAGUUGCUUAUCCACUACUCCGUCUCUCCCCAUCAGUUGCUUAUCCACUACUCUGUCUCUCCACAUCAGUUGCUUAUCCACUACUCUGUCUCUCCACAUCAGUUGCUUAUCCACUACUCUGUCUCUCCACAUCAGUUGCUUAUCCACUACUCCGUCUCUCCCCAUCAGUUGCUUAUCCACUACUCUGUCUCUCCCCAUCAGUUGCUUAUCCACUACUCCUUCUCUCCCCAUCAGUUGCUUAUCCACUACUCUGUCUCUCCACAUCAGUUGCUUAUCCACUACUCUGUCUCUCCACAUCAGUUGCUUAUCCACUACUCUGUCUCUCCACAUCAGUUGCUUAUCCACUACUCUGUCUCUCCCCAUCAGUUGCUUAUCCACUACUCUGUCUCUCCACAUCAGUUGCUUAUCAACUACUCCGUCUCUCCCAAUCAGUUGCUUAUCCACUACUCCUUCUCUCCCCAUCAGUUGCUUAUCCACUACUCUGUCUCUCCACAUCAGUUGCUUAUCAACUACUCCUUCUCUCCACAUAUGUUGCUUAUCCACUACUCCUUCUCUCCACAUAUGUUGCUUAUCCACUACUCCUUCUCUCCCCAUCAGUUGCUUAUCCACUACUCUGUCUCUCCACAUCAGUUGCUUAUCCACUACUCCUUCUCUCCCCAUCAGUUGCUUAUCCACUACUCCUUCUCUCCCCAUCAGUUGCUUAUCCACUACUCCUUCUCUCCCCAUCAGUUGCUUAUCCACUACUCUGUCUCUCCACAUCAGUUGCUUAUCCACUACUCCUUCUCUCCACAUCAGUUGCUUAUCCACUACUCUGUCUCUCCACAUCAGUUGCUUAUCAACUACUCCUCAUGUUCCUUUGUUCUCAUCCACCUGACAUCAUGUCUCUCAUAUUUGCAUUCCUGGUUAUAA
rnacentral:lncRNA from 1 species